GUGCAGAUUCUCUGAAUGAUCCGUUUGUGCCUAACGAUUUUGCGAUGAUGGUUCUAAUCCUAUGUCUUUGGAAGUCUCUAGGAGGGCUUGACAAAUCUCUAUUUGACUUCUAUAUGGAUCAUAAAGUGAAAUGUUUGAAGAGGAAGUUAUCAUGUGCUGGAAGAAGAAACAUGAAACUGAAGCUGUGUACUGAUUUCCCGUUUAUUCUAUUUCCCUGCUUCAAUGGCCACUUAAUUUUGGUCUUCACUCAAUUUUCUGAUGUGAAACCUCGGAUUCUUGCGUGGAGAGGGUUCUGUUCAAAAAUCUUCAGCGAGUAAGAGUAUGGAUUUUGAUGCAUCUGAUGUUCCAUUUGCUACAAGAGUUGAGUCAAAUUUUGGUGAUCAUUUUGGCUCUGAGUUUGCUCAUGAACUUGUGGAUCUUGUUCAGGCCAGACAUCAAGAGAAGCCUAAGAUUUUUGUUGAAUGUUCAGAGUCUCUCAUUGUUGAUGUAUUGAAUUGUGUGUUGCAAUCUUCUUUUCUUGCAAACAUUCAUGCUUCCGUGGAAGUUUUUGGCAGUGAGAAUCAUUCACUGAGCAAGUUCUCAUUUGGUUAGUUUCAUCUUUUUUACUUUCGCUUUCAUUUUAUUUCCCUGUUUAUUUUUUUCUUUUGGUUUGUUCAUAAUUCAAUUGACUGCUAGUUUUUUCUGUGAUUUUGCAUGCAAUAAGAGUGUUUCUAUUCAAUCUGCUAUCCCCAAUACAAAGUCUGCGAGAUUUGAUGAUAUUCCAGGGAAGUGAUAUCCGUUUUGUUU